CAGAGAAUAGUUUAAUUCAGAAUACCAGCUUUGGGAGUUGGGGGUGAAGGUUUAAGUCCUUUUUCUCUGA
rnacentral:tRNA from 1 species